rnacentral:rRNA from 1 species
AGAGAGAGACAUGCGCGCAUAUCAAUAAGCGGAGGAAAAGAAACUAACUAGGAUUCCCUCAGUAACGGCGAGUGAAGCGGGAAGAGCUCAAAUUUGAAAUCUUCAAGGUUCUACCUUGACGAAUUGUAGUUUAAAGAAGUGUUUUCUGUUGGAGUUUUGGUAAAAGUUCUUUGGAAUAGGACAUCAUAGAGGGUGAGAAUCCCGUAUUUGACCAUUAUUUCCAGCUUUGUGAUACACUUUCAAAGAGUCGGAUUGUUUGGGAAUGCAGUCCAAAAUGGGUGGUAAAUUUCAUCUAAAGCUAAAUAUUGGCGAGAGACCGAUAGCGAACAAGUACCGUGAGGGAAAGAUGAAAAGAACUUUGAAAAGAGAGUUAAACAGUACGUGAAAUUGUCAAAAGGGAAGCGUUUGACACCAGUGUUGUUUUUCUGAAAAUCAAUUAAAGAACUGUCUAUGCUAAGCUGUUUAGACUUUAUCAGCUAUCUGUUUAGUUUUGAGCUUUUCUUUAAUGCACUUUUCAGUUAACAAGUCAACAUCAAUUUCUUUUGCUGUAAAAAAGCUUGAGGAAGGUGGCUUGAGAUUCGUCUUAAGUGUUUAUAGCCUCUUGCCUAUGCAGUCGGAGAGAUUGAGGUCUGCAGCGUAGAUCCUUCGGGGUUAGAUACAUUUGUGCUAAGUUAUAGCCUUUCAUAGACAACUUGUUGACUAUGAUCAGUCAUGUAGCUUACUCGCUUAUGUUAUUUUACCUACGCUUAGGAUGUUGAUGUGAUACUGCGAGCA